GACGAACGCUGGCGGCAGGCCUAACACAUGCAAGUCGAACGGGUGGCGGAGGGGCGAGCAAUGUCUUAGCACGUGCCUGACGGAGGGGGAAGACUACGGGAACAGGUAGCUAAAAGCGCAUACCGUCAGUUCGGCCCUGGUGGGAUUAGCUUGUUGGUGGGGUAACGGCUGAUCAAGGCGACGAUCCCUAGCAGGUCUGAGAGGAUGACCAGCCACACUGGAACUGAGACACUGUCCAGACUCCUACGGGAGGCAGCAGUGGGGAAUAUUGGACAAUGGGCGAAAGCCUGACGCAGCCACGCCGCGUGUGUGAAGAAGGCCUUCGGGUUGUAAAGUACUUUCAUCGGGGAGGCGUUACCCAACGAGAAAGCAACGGCUAACUCCGUGCCAGCCGCCGCGGUAAUAC
rnacentral:rRNA from 1 species